UACGAAGGGGGCUAGCGUUGUUCGGAAUUACUGGGCGUAAAGCGCGCGCAGGCGGUUUUCCAAGUCAGUGGUGAAAGCCCGGAGCUCAACUCCGGAAUUGCCUUUAAGACUGCAUCGCUUGAAUCCAGGAGAGGUGAGUGGAAUUCCGAGUGUAGAGGUGAAAUUCGUAGAUAUUCGGAAGAACACCAGUGGCGAAGGCGGCUCACUGGACUGGUAUUGACGCUGAGGUGCGAAAGCGUGGGGAGCAAACAGG
rnacentral:rRNA from 1 species